CAUACUUCCAAGAAAAGCUCGAACUACUGUAAAACAUUGAGUACCUGUACCGUAAACCGACACAGGUGGGUUGGUAGAGUAUACCAAGGGGCGCGAGAUAACUCUCUCUAAGGAACUCGGCAAAAUGACCCCGUAACUUCGGGAGAAGGGGUGCCAAGUAACUCAAAUUGCUUGGUCGCAGUGACCAGGCCCUGGCGACUGUUUAUCAAAAACACAGGUCUCCGCAAAGUCGUAAGACAACAUAUGGGGGCUGACGCCUGCCCAGUGCCGGAAGGUUAAAGAAGUUGGUUAUUCACUUGUGGAGAAGCUGACGACUGAAGCCCCGGUGAACGGCGGCCGUAACUAUAACGGUCCUAAGGUAGCGAAAUUCCUUGUCGGGUGAGUUCCGACCCGCACGAAAGGCGUAACGAUCAGGGCACUGUCUCGGAGAGAGACUCGGUGAAAUAGACAUGUCUGUGAAGAUGCGGACUACCUGCACCUGGACAGAAAGACCCUAUGAAGCUUGACUGUAGCUUGGAAUUGGGUUCGGGCUCUUCUUGCGCAGCCUAGGUGGGAGGCGUUGAAAGUUUUCUUUAGGGAAAGCUGGAGCCAACAGUGAGAGACCACUCUGGAGGAGCUAGAAUUCUAAUGGCGUUCCUUGAAGCAGGACGCUUGACAGUUUCAGGUGGGCAGUUUGACUGGGGCGGUCACCUCCUAAAAGGUAACGGAGGUGUGCAAAGGUUCCCUCAGGCUGGACGGAAAUCAGCCGUAGAGUGUAAAGGCAGAAGGGAGCUUGACUGCAAGACCUACAAGUCGAGCAGGGGCGAAAGCCGGCCUUAGUGAUCCGACGGUUCCAUGUGGAAGGGCCGUCGCUCAACGGAUAAAAGUUACUCUAGGAUAACAGGCUGAUCUUCCCCAAGAGUUCACAUCGACGGGAAGGUUUGGCACCUCGAUGUCGGCUCAUCGCAACCUGGGGCGGUAGUACGUCCCAAGGGUUGGGCUGUUCGCCCAUGAAACCGGUACGUGAGCUGGGUUCAGAACGUCGUGAGACAGUUCGGUCCAUAUCCGGUGUAGGCGUUAGAGCAUUGAGAGGAGUCUUCCAUAGUACGAGAGGACCUGGAAGAACACACCUCUGGUAUACCAGUUAUCAUGCCAAUGGUACACGCUGGGUAGCCAUGUGUGGAGUGGAUAACCGCUGAAAGCACCUAAGUGGGAAGCCCACCUCAAGAUGAGUGCUCUCCAUCAGGUCACAGGAAGACAACCUGUUUGAUAGGCAGAAGGUGUAAGGCUAGUAAUAGUUUCAGCUGAUCUGUACUAAUAGACCGAGUGAUUU
rnacentral:rRNA from 1 species